GCAGCUCAGGGGUAGAGCAUCUGCUUUGCAGGCUGACGUACCCAGGUUCAAUUCCCAGCAGCAUCU